CAUUUAUAACAUAAAGAAAGCUCUUCCUCUGCAGACAUUGACUCAGGUCCUGAAACAGUAUUUUAAAGCAUUUUAUCUUUAGUUUCCGUUGUAUCCUCAGAGAAUAAAUAAAUCAAAAGCAGUCCAGAAAGCACAGAUUGGAUAUAAGCAGUUAUUACAAACCUCAAUGCAUUUUCUUUUCUUCACAGGGUUUGAUGGGUCUCUCUACAGGCAUCGGACUCAUUGGUCUGAUGGGUCUCUCUACAGCCCUGCCUGUACGACUCAUGUAGCAGGUGUAACCAACAAUUAUCAAGGUAACUGUUUUAUUUCUUCUCUUUUACUUGAAGGUUACAGCUUUGGUCAGACUUACUUAGCUUAUAGGAUCAGACUGGUGUUAAAUAUAUUUCUUAUUGUCAACAAGUAAAACCAACAAAGUGAUGAGUCUGUCUCUACAUACUUGUCAA